UGUAGCCUGCACUGUAUUACCCUGUGCUGCCUCCGCCUAGGUCAGUCAUGCUGCUGUGGCCUGAACUGCAUAUUACUUUGCGCCGCCUCCCCUCUGGGUCAGUCAAACUUCUGAGGCUCCACUGGGUUAGUGUGGUUAGUGUGCACCACCACUGUAAGGACUUGAUUUCAGAUAACUUAUUGGGUCUCAGCCAGAUCAUGUGACCCAGGCCUAGCUCACUCCAACAAUCCUGUUCGGCAAGAGAACAACUGACUGAAGUCACUGCUGCCCCUUGUACUUGCCAGUCCUGCACAGCCCCAGAAUGUCAUCUGCUGGAGCCCCCUUUGUAUGCAAUGGCUCCCCUCCUGUCACUCACCACAGGUUGAUGUAGGUACCCUGUCUACUCAGCUCUCUGUUCAGCUCACCGACCCCCAAACUCAAUGUAAGUGUGCCUCCAGUGAGUCAAAGCAGUGGGACCUUGGACAGCUCAGCAAGUCGUGGUGGGACCCUGGAUGUUUGGACCCAGGCUGCCUUCUUCUGUGAAUAUUCAUUGCCUGAUGAGACUGCAGCUAAGACUGAAUCCCUGACCUCCAGAAUCUCACAAUUCAUCUGUCCCUAGAACACUGAAGAUUGGAAGACUGAUGGCAUCUUGAAAUUCUGAAGUUCCACUCCUCAUGCCUAUUGCCACUCCAUGUACAUUUAUUAAUCUCCUGUGGAGUUUAUCAGGCAGUUCCACCUGGCAAUACAGCACACUGGUGCAAGAUAAUGACAAAGAGAGAAAAUCCUACAGUUCAGGAGCUCUGGGAACCAAUGUUAUUCAUGGAACUAGAGGCCAUGAAUUCCAAAAGUUCAUGGCUUUUAUCAGUAUCAAUCAGAGAUGUGGGUCGGGGUCAUGGCUGAGCGUUUAGAAAGAGACACUUUGCAGGCAUUGGCUGUACCAGCCACAGAGGCUCUCCAAUUAGACAGGAUAUUUGAUGCUUGCAAAUCUGGAACCUUUCCUUCUUGGAUGGUGUAAUUCUUCCUUAGUCCCAAUGCUUCUGCUGAGAUACUGUCUUAUGUGUUAGCCCUGGAAUUGCAGAGGCCACUCCUGGAGCCCCCAUUCCAGGUGUCAACACUGUGGAUAAUGAUUACCUGGGCUUGAUCUCAUUCUUCUAGCUGGAUAAGGAAACCACCAGCUCCAUAUAACCAGCUCAGCAUAUCUCAAUGAAUAGAGUUGAAGGACAGGCAAAGGGGCUUGUUUCUCUGGAGAGCACAGCUUGGCAGUCUCCCAUAGACAUCAACACAAACUCUCUUGUGACUCAUUCAAGUACAUGACACUUAUCCUCCUUUUACUUUUCUCUCUCAUCUCACAUUCAAUAUGUCUGUAAAGCUUAUUUGCUCUAAUUUUAAAAUAUGACCAGAAUCUGUCCGCCUUUCAAUACAUCUACUGAUGGGUCAAAGCUCUGACAUGUGAGCACAUUCAGACAUGGAUAAAAGUAUCAGAGGAGGUGAAUGGGACUUUUUAAUAUUACUUUGGAAGUAGGGCCCAAAGGCCAACUUUUAGAACAGAUAUUAUUGUCCCAUUAUCAAACUCUUCAUUUUUGAAAGGCCACACCAGGAAACAAGCACCAUCUGAGAACCAGUGCCUUGCAGGCUGCCACUGGUCUGUGGACAGUCAGUCCUCAGCCCCUUCCAGCUUGCAGGAUGACAAACAAGAAGUAUCAGUGCACCCCCCACAAUUUCCCCAACCCAGAAACACAGGCUGUCAUGAUAGCUAUCAAUGUGAAAUGCAAUUGGCUGCCUGUGGUGCUUUGAUGUUUCACUGAUAUUGCAGAUAUAGGGCCAGUGGUCUGAUCGUAGGUUCAGGGGAUAGCUGUACACAAGGUGACAGCUAGAGAGGAUCUCCUUCUGAGGGUUCCAUCCAUUGUUGAUUCUCUAUGGUCUAGUUUUGAAAGUCAUAUAUUAUUUCCAUUCUUUUGUUGGGUUAGGUUUUAUUCUCUCUCUCUUUUUUUUUUUUUUGAUUAUGUUAAGUCGGAUGGCAAGAGCAGCUGUUUCAAAGACAGCAGUAUGUAUUAUGGUAGCAAUUUUGGAUUUACUAUUGGCUUGUUUUGAAUUUCUUUAUUGCAUUUAUUGUUUUGUUUUUAUUGUUUGUAUUUUACUCUGUUCUGUUUGAUUUUUACUAUGUCCAAAGAUCUCUUCAGCUAUUUUGAAGACAACAAAAGGCAUUCUGUUAAUUAUUGCUGAUUUUGUAAUGUAUUAAAAUGUUGUAUCACUUA